AAUGAACGCUGGCGGCAUGCCUUACACAUGCAAGUCGAACGGCAGCAUGACCUAGCUUGCUAGGUUGAUGGCGAGUGGCGAACAGGUGAGUAAUGCAUCGGAACGUGCCUUUUAGUGGGGGAUAACGUAGCGAAAGUUACGCUAAUACCGCAUAUUCUCUGAGGAGGAAAGCAGGGGGCCUUCGGGCCUUGCGCUAGAAGAGCGGCCGAUGUCGGAUUAGCUAGUUGGUGAGGUAAAGGCUCACCAAGGCAACGAUCCGUAGCGGGUCUGAGAGGAUGAUCCGCCACACUGGGACUGAGACACGGCCCAGACUCCUACGGGAGGCAGCAGUGGGGAAUUUUGGACAAUGGGCGCAAGCCUGAUCCAGCCAUGCCGCGUGAGUGAAGAAGGCCUUCGGGUUGUAAAGCUCUUUCGGCUGGGAAGAAAUCGCACUCUCUAAUACAGGGUGUGGAUGACGGUACCAGCAUAAGAAGCACCGGCUAACUACGUG
rnacentral:rRNA from 1 species